GGGUUGUGAGGUUAAGCGACUAAGCGUACACGGUGGAUGCCCUGGCAGUCAGAGGCGAUGAAGGGCGUGCUAAUCUGCGAUAAGCGCCGGUAAGGUGAUAUGAACCGUUAUAACCGGCGAUACCCGAAUGGGGAAACCCAGUGUGAUUCGUCACACUAUCAUUAACUGAAUCCAUAGGUUAAUGAGGCGAACCGGGGGAACUGAAACAUCUAAGUACCCCGAGGAAAAGAAAUCAACCGAGAUUCCCCCAGUAGCGGCGAGCGAACGGGGAGGAGCCCAGAGCCUGAAUCAGCAUGUGUGUUAGUGGAAGCGUCUGGAAAGGCGCGCGAUACAGGGUGACAGCCCCGUACACAAAAGCGCAUAUGCUGUGAGCUCGAUGAGUAGGGCGGGACACGUGGUAUCCUGUCUGAAUAUGGGGGGACCAUCCUCCAAGGCUAAAUACUCCUGACUGACCGAUAGUGAACCAGUACCGUGAGGG
rnacentral:rRNA from 1 species